GGGCAAAAUCACUCGCCUUCGGCUCGUGUUUCGCUCGCUUUUCUUAACUCUCGCAACAUUCCCGCGUGUUUGGAUCAGGCCAUCCAAACCCGGAAACCAUAAAGUAAUUGUAUAAUCACAUCAUGAUAAAUUUGACACUAGAUUCACUACUUCUUGGUAUGUAUACAUCAUGGUAUGUAUUUAAGUGAAAUCUCUCAAAUGCUUUCUUUUAUUUUUCCCUAGUAAAUUAACAGACAUUGCAUUAAAUUAACACUGUCCAAGUGGAAAUUUCUCGCUUAUUACUGUAAGAACAUGGAUCAACAAAUUAGUAAUAGUGAAGCCCUGAAUGCC
rnacentral:lncRNA from 1 species